GGCUAUAGCUCAGCUGGGAGAGCGCCUGCUUUGCACGCAGGAGGUCUGCGGUUCGAUCCCGCAAUCGCAA
rnacentral:tRNA from 1 species